GGUGAGGUGGCCGAGUGGUUGUACGUACUUACCUCUUCGUUGCUACCAUCCUGUAGCUAAUUUCAAGUGUAGAAGGCGCUGUGUUUAGGUAUACCGAUACCAUAACAAAUUGUUCCGCAGUGGGAAACCGCGUGGGUUCGAAUCCCACCCUCAUCA
rnacentral:tRNA from 1 species